rnacentral:rRNA from 1 species
CACGGGGGGAGCGAACGUUGUUCGGAAUCACUGGGCGUAAAGGGCGUGUAGGCGGUUCGGUAAGUGGAAUGUGAAAUCCCCCGGCUUACCCGGGGAACUGCAUCCCAUACUGCUGGACUUGAGUGCGGGAGAGGAUGGAGGAAUUCCUGGUGUAGCGGUGAAAUGCGUAGAUAUCAGGAGGAACACCGGUGGCGAAGGCGGUUCUCUGGGCAUUACCUGACGCUGAGGAGCGAAAGUGUGGGGAGCGAACAGG